GACGAACGCUGGCGGCGUGCCUAAUACAUGCAAGUCGAGCGCAGGAAGUCAUCCGAACCCUUCGGGGGGACGUUGACGGAAUGAGCGGCGGACGGGUGAGUGACACGUAAAGAACCUGCCCUCAGGUCUGGGAUAACCACGAGAAAUCGGGGCUAAUACCGGAUGGGUCAUCGGACCGCAUGGUCCGAGGAUGAAAGGCGCUCCGGCGUCGCCUGGGGAUGGCUUUGCGGUGCAUUAGCUAGUUGGUGGGGUAAUGGCCCACCAAGGCGACGAUGCAUAGCCGACCUGAGAGGGUGAUCGGCCACACUGGGACUGAGACACGGCCCAGACUCCUACGGGAGGCAGCAGUAGGGAAUCUUCCACAAUGGACGAAAGUCUGAUGGAGCAACGCCGCGUGAACGAUGAAGGCCCUCGGGUCGUAAAGUUCUGUUGUAAGGGAAGAACAAGUGCCGCAGGCAAUGGCGGCACCUUGACGGUACCUUGCGAGAAAGCCACGGCUAACUACGUG
rnacentral:rRNA from 1 species